AACGAACGCUGGCGGCAGGCCUAACACAUGCAAGUCGAGCGAGGUAGCAAUACCUAGCGGCGGACGGGUUAGUAACGCGUGGGAACGUGCCCAAAGGUACGGAAUAGCCUCGGGAAACUGAGAGUAAUACCGUAUGUGCCCUUCGGGGGAAAGGAUUUAUCGCCUUUGGAUCGGCCCGCGUUGGAUUAGGUAGUUGGUGGGGUAAUGGCCUACCAAGCCGACGAUCCAUAGCUGGUUUGAGAGGAUGAUCAGCAACACUGGGACUGAGACACGGCCCAGACUCCUACGGGAGGCAGCAGUGGGGAAGUCUUAGACAAUGGGGGAAACCCGUGAUCUAGCCAUGCCGCGUGAGCGAUGAAGGCCUUAGGGUUGUAAAGCUCUUUCAGCUGGGAAGAUAAUGACGGUACCAGCAGAAGAAGCCCCGGCUAACUCCGUG
rnacentral:rRNA from 1 species